rnacentral:rRNA from 1 species
GUGCCAGCCGCCGCGGUAAAACGUAGGUGGCGAGCGUUAUCCGGAUUCAUUGGGCGUAAAGAGCUUGUAGGUGGCUUGAUAAGUUGGACGUGAAAACUCCGGGCUUAACUUGGAGAGGCCGUUCAAUACUGUCGGGCUGGAGGGUGUCAGAGGGAAGUAGAAUUCCUGGUGUAGCAGUGAAAUGCGUAGAUAUCAGGAGGAAUACCCGUGGCGCAGGCGGCUUCCUGGGGCACACCUGACACUGAGAAGCGACAGCUAGGGGAGCAAACGGGAUUAGAAACCCCCGUAGUCC